GUGCUCACUUCAGCAACACAUAUACUAAAGUUGGAACAAUACAUAGAAGAUUAGCAUGGCCCCUGCUCAAGGAUGACAUGCAAAUUGGUGAAGCAUUCCAUAUUUAA